rnacentral:rRNA from 1 species
AGCGAACGCUGGCGGCAGGCCUAACACAUGCAAGUCGAACGAACCUUUCGGGGUUAGUGGCGGACGGGUGAGUAACACGUGGGAACGUGCCUUUAGGUUCGGAAUAACUCAGGGAAACUUGUGCUAAUACCGAAUGUGCCCUUCGGGGGAAAGAUUUAUCGCCUUUAGAGCGGCCCGCGUCUGAUUAGCUAGUUGGUUGAGGUAAUGGCUCACCAAGGCGACGAUCAGUAGCUGGUCUGAGAGGAUGAUCAGCCACAUUGGGACUGAGACACGGCCCAAACUCCUACGGGAAGCAGCAGUGGGGAAUCUUGCGCAAUGGGCGAAAGCCUGACGCAGCCAUGCCGCGUGAAUGAUGAAGGUCUUAGGAUUGUAAAAUUCUUUCAACGGGGACGAUAAUGACGGUACCCGGAGAAGAAGCCCCGGCUAACUUCGUG